UAUUGUCUAUUGAUUGUGCUU
rnacentral:miRNA from 1 species